rnacentral:rRNA from 1 species
GGGGAAUUUUCCGCAAUGGGCGAAAGCCUGACGGAGCAAGACCGCGUGAGGGAGGAAGGCCUUUGGGUUGUAAACCUCUUUUGUCAGGGAAGAACACUGACGGUACCUGACGAAUCAGCCUCGGCUAACUCCGUGCCAGCAGCCGCGGUAAUACGGAGGAGGCAAGCGUUAUCCGGAAUCAUUGGGCGUAAAGCGUCCGUAGGUGGCGAAGUAAGUCUGCUGUCAAAGACCACAGCUUAACUGUGGAAAGGCAGUGGAAACUGCGGCGCUAGAGUGCGGUAGGGGUAGAGGGAAUUCCAGGUGUAGCGGUGAAAUGCGUAGAGCUCUGGAAGAACACCGGUGGCGAAAGCGCUCUACUGGGCCGUAACUGACACUGAGGGACGAAAGCUAGGG